rnacentral:lncRNA from 1 species
AAUCAACUCCUUUUUUUAAGUACAGUUUGGAGCUUUUGUUAGUUGUUGCUGACAAUUACGCCUCUUUCCUCAGUUGUCAGUUAGGAUCAAUUGCCUCUAUUGCCUCUCCCUCCAUCGCUUUUCCUCCACUGCCUCUCCUCUAUUGCCUUUCCUCUGUCGCGCCUAUCCUUUCCUUAUAUCGCCUCCCCUCAGCCACUUCCCAUCUCUUUCCUCCCUCGGUCCAAUUCAUCAACAAACCCUAGUUCUAAUAGUCGUUCAAUCCCUUCUUUUUCUCUCUAAAUAUCACAAAUAAAAUCAAUUACUCUGUGUUUCUAGAUCAUUUUUGGUCCCCCCCCCCUAAAAGCUUUGUGCAAAGCAAUUGAAAAGAUUGGGAAAUUAUGCAAUUUUGAAAAAACGGGACACUAAGAGAAGGUUUGUUUCUUCUUUGCUAUGACGGUUUCUAAUUUCUUCUAAUUUCUUCGCAUAUGUGUUGGUUUAUUGGUUGAUUUUCUUCAAAAAUUUGAACCUAAUUUAUGUGUAUUUAAUUUUCACAGGCUCUGAGAUUUUUAAGUAAACUUGUUGAGUGAGUCUAAUUAUGUUUUUUUGGUAAUUAUGUUUUUUUGGUGGGUUAUUUUUGUUGUUGCAAAGAUUAGUGACUUCUCUUGCCCUAUGAUUGUUUUGUUUGCUGUGGCUUUCUCUUGCGCUUGCCUUGAAGCGUUCUUAUAUACAAGUGGCUUACUUGUGCAAACUAUUUUAGUACAGUUCAGAAAAUAAAUCUGAAUAUUUAAAUGGUGAGUUUUUGUUGGGCAUACCCAUGAAAAACUUUGAACUUGAGUAUCAAUGAAUAGAUUUGCUGAUGGUUGUCUUAUUCCAGGAUUUCUCUAUUUAGUUAUUUAGAAUUUAUUCUCAAGGAAACAUAUCUUUUGGUUGUUCUCUUCCUCUUUAUUAAUUUUUUUAGAUAAAAGUUAUCUUCCUCUUUAAGCUUAGUAGUUAAUAGCUAGGCAGCAAUCUUUUAGUGAAUCUAAUCAUAUCCCAGGCAGUUUUGUUUUGACAGGACUGAUAGAGGCAACAACAACUUUACCAUAUAUGGGGCUUCAAUUGGGAGAAUUAAGCUUGGAUGAGAAGGCAAAAAUAUUGUUUGUGGACCAGAGGUAAGGACCCUUGUUCAAAAUUUUGUAUUUUGUUUUUUUUGUUGUUUCUGUACACUGUAACCACUUUUCUAACUGAGGGUUGUUUGCGAUCAUUGCACCCAGCCUUUAUGUUACUUUAUUGUCAACUUACCAGUUACCACAGAGUUGGUAUUUAAAUUUAUUUACAUUAGUUUUUGGGAGUAAGAAAGGGCUACAUGUUUAAAUUUUUCUUAGAUCGACAGUAUCACCCAGGAAUGGUUGUAUAGUUGAAAAUAAUUAAAAAAGAUCACAUUACUCUCCUGAAUGCUUUAAUAAUGGAUGUAAUAUAUGAAACCCUCUUCCAGUUCCAUAUGCGAUAUCUCAUAAUCAGAUUGACUGUUACAAAAAAAAAUAUUUACAUUUGCUUGGAAGUUAAUCAUAUUCAACAGCUUUAUCCGUAUUAUUGCUCGGACCUUAGUCAUAUUCAACAGUUUUAUCCAUGCCAUGCUGCAGUCCUUUUAUUCUUUUUAGCUUUUAUGCACCUUAGCAAAGAGUGACAUUGAUUCAUUAUUUUUCUUAUUUGCAAACCAGAAAAUGUUGGAAGUAUGCCUAAUAGUUUAUUAUGUCAUCAUUUUUAGUUUUCUUUUAAAAAAAUUAUACUGCACUUAUAUUCCUUUUCUGUUUCGCUGAUCUUUUAACUGAAAAAGUAUGUCUAACUUUGUUUCUUAUUGUUUCUUGCAAUAUUACAACAGCAGCUGUACUUGCAGUUAUGUACAGUCUUACUAACUACCAACCACUUCUUGAUGACUUUUUCCGCUAUGGUGUGUUGUAUAAAUAUAUAUAAGACUACAUCAGGAUGCUGAAGAAAAUUCGUAAUUUCGUGUUUUGAGAUGCUUAGCGAAAAGCCGUUGUUGCUUAUGUUAUAAAAGUCCUAAUAUUGUUAGAGAAGUAGGAUGCAUUAUAUUCUUCUAUUCUAAUUUACAUUUGAAUAAUGUUUCAGAUUGGAGAGAACCUUGAAAAUCUUCAGAAAGGAUGGCUCUUGUGGGCAGGAAUUGGUCUUUUAGGAGCCCUUGCAUCUAUUGCAUUAACAGGAGCCGUUGUGUCCUUGUUUAAGGGUGAGAACCCGCAAAGAGAGGUUAGAAACUAAUUUAAACUAGCUUUUCUCUCUAACUCUCAUACACCCAUACACACACAUGUGCAUACUUACAAUGAUCUUUUUUUUUAAGGUAAAUAAAAUGAACAUUUUGAUAUAUAUUUCCCUGCACUUCAGUUCAUGAGUACUACAUGGCAUCUCUCCAUGACUAGGAUGAAGAUUAAUUCAAAGUCGGUGAACUAUCCCUAUUAGAUGUUUGGUGCAGCUUAUUACCGGAGUAGAGCUGGUUCAUUUCAAAACUAUAAUACUCAACUUGGGUUCAGACAUGGUCAUAUAAAAGUUAUGCAUGUUCAUUUCAAUCCAGUACAACAGCUGAACUAAGUUGGCAGGACCAAGUUAAUAAUAUGUGAGGCCGGCAUAUGUGAGUUGGGUCAUUAAACUUUAGUCUGGUCAUUAGAAUAUGCAUGAAGACAUCAAUUUUCAGCUGUAGUACUUUCUUUCGGAUUUAAUCUAGGAGCCGCUAUACUCAAAGCAAAACAUGACAAGCAUAAGCACCAUGAAACAAAAAAAACUGUGAUAAGCUCUUUUACAGAAUACAUAGUGCUCAAUCAUUUAGCACUAUUCCUACAUAUUCUGGGACUUGCGCAAACAAAUAAAAACAUGUCAACCGAGUUGGCUAGAUGCACAAACCAAUUACGUAAAGAGACGAAUACAUUCAGUAGAUAGUUGAUCACAUCUAAAAAUGAUGUCAUAUGACCUUGGCAUUCAUAUUGUGGGGUUGGUUUCAGGAAAUUUUGUUUUAUGGAAGUUCACUAUAACUACAGGGCUGGUGGGUGACCAAUUCCCUUCCCUGGUUCAAACCCAAGAAGGGUUGAGAGCCUUAAUCCUUUCUCCACUGCAACUUUAUAUAUUUGUAUGCUGGGGCCAGAAAAACUCUGCCCCGCCCUCAUCUCUAGAAUUAUCUUUUCUUUUAUUUUUACAUAAUAAAAUAAAAGAAUAAAUCUGAAGUUCGUGUGGCUAGGGUAUCGGGUGUUCCUUAAUGGAACGGGGUGUACAUUUUAGGUUGCUGUUUUAUCUACUAACUGCUUAAUUCAGAAGAAUCAAAAUGAUUUGGCAAAUUUUAUAAGUUAUUUAGUUGACCUUUCUAUUUCUCUAUUGUGUAACAGUAUUUUAUUUGGUUUUGCCAACUUAUAUCAGACUGAUGCUCUUGUUCUCUUGCUUCCGUUGAUUGGAUCUUCAAGUACCAGGUACUUCCUCCAAAAGUCUUUUAUAGUUACAACAUGCAUAUUUUACUGGAAUUGCCC